rnacentral:rRNA from 1 species
UACGUAGGUGGCAAGCGUUAUCCGGAUUUAUUGGGCGUAAAGAGAACGCAGGCGGUCUUUUAAGUCUGAUGUGAAAGCCUUCGGCUUAACCGGAGUAGUGCAUUGGAAACUGGGAGACUUGAGUGCAGAAGAGGAGAGUGGAACUCCAUGUGUAGCGGUGAAAUGCGUAGAUAUAUGGAAGAACACCAGUGGCGAAAGCCGCUCUCUGGUCUGUAACUGACGCUGAGGUUCGAAAGCGUGGGUAGCAAACAGG